GUUACUACUAACAAUUUUUUUAUUCAAAUUUAGAGAAAAAAAAUUAUUAAUAACGGUGGCACUAAUGACCAUUUUACAAUUAUUUUAUAUGGAUGACGAACAAAGAUCGAUGAGCGAGAGAAAUCAUAAAAGUACCAACAAUAUAAUUGCAUAUACAAUUAUAUUCUUAAAAGUAUCAUGAAAUUAUUUUUGAACUUAAUUCUUAAUUAAACCCGCAAUAACAUUUUUGAAUUAAGCACCUUGGAACUAGAGGAUAACUACACGUAAUAGUAGUACAAUCUCUAUGAAUUUUGCAUGGAUAACUUGCUGUUAUAUGAAAUAAGAAAAAAUGAAUGUUAAUAAUAGAAAAUGAAACAUCGUGUAUAAGAUAAAUAAGAGAAUUUGAAAUAAAAACAAAGAAGAGAAUAAGGAAAUUAUUACCGUCAGUUACAAUGACAAAGAUGAAAAGCAUGAUAAUCGUAAAAAUUUGUAUGAUCGUUAUUAUUUUAGCCAUAUUUUAUCUUGCUUACUAC
rnacentral:lncRNA from 1 species